rnacentral:lncRNA from 1 species
AGUAAAACCUCGGUGAUACGAAUCUCGCGGGGUUUCCAAAAAUAUUCGUAUCAACCGAAAUUCGUAUCCCCAGAAAACAUGGAAACUUAAUCAGAAAGUUGGCGUACGUAUUGAUUUAG